UGGUGGAGUGAUUUGUCUGGUUAAUUCCGUUAACGAACGAGACCUCGACCUGCUAAAUAGUACUAUCGAUCUCAGAUCGAUCGCACUUCUUAGAGGGACUCUCGGUGUGUAGCCGAUGGAAGUUCGAGGCAAUAACA
rnacentral:rRNA from 1 species